CAGUUGAAGGCAAUUUUAUAGAAUGAAAUAUGACAAAACGAGAGUGGAUUUUUGUGAGGGUGAGAGCGAGAAAAAGAGCUCAAUAUUUGUAUAAAGCCUUCGCAGAUGAUCACCUGAAUGUAUAUGCUCAGCGUUUACAUUUCGGGAGGAUUUCGUCGAGAAAGUCCACUCCUUUCCUUGCGAAGACCUCCAACUCCACAUCCUGCGAACUUGGUAGGCUGCAGCGCUGUUCAACAUGAAAGUCUUGACCAUCCUCGCCAUUUUAGCAUUAGCAGGUUAUGCGGCUGCUUGCAAGGCUUCAGCCUGCAAUAGCCACUGCAAGGAUCUCGGGUCAAGCGGAGGAAACUGCGAUGGAGGCACGUGGUGCACAUGCAACUAGACAAGAAACGCUGCGCGGGACAUGAUGGCAAUAUAAAGCUAC